rnacentral:misc_RNA from 1 species
GUGAGUCAUCGAAUCUUUGAACGCACCUUGCGCUCCCUAGUAUUCUGGGGAGCAUGUCUGUUUGAGUGUCAUGAACUCUUCAACCCUCCCGUUUCUUGUAUUCGGGCUGGAGUUUGGAUUUUGAACGCUUGCUGGUCUUCGGACGUAGCUCGUUCGUAAUACAUUAGCAACUCUAAUUCGACUUCGGAUUGACUCAGUGUAAUAGACUAUUCGCUGAGGACACUUUUACUAGUGGCCGAACGAGAUAACUGUAGAUGCUUCGAACCUCUAUAGUCAACUUUAGAUUAGACCUCAGAUCAG